rnacentral:rRNA from 1 species
UACGUAGGGUGCAAGCGUUGUCCGGAAUUAUUGGGCGUAAAGAGCUCGUAGGCGGUUUGUCGCGUCUGCUGUGAAAACUCGGGGCUUAACUCCGGGCCUGCAGUGGGUACGGGCAGACUAGAGUGCGGUAGAGGAGCGUAGAAUUCCUGGUGUAGCGGUGAAAUGCGCAGAUAUCAGGAGGAAUACCAGCGGCGAAGGCGGCGCUCUGGGCCGGUACUGACGCUGGAGGAGCGAAAGCGUGGGGAGCAAACAGG